rnacentral:lncRNA from 1 species
UCCACAAGUAUCCAUUACAUAAAACAUGACUCUACUCCUGCUGACCUCCUGGUCUACCCUGUACCUGCAAACCUGGGGGUUAGGGGAGAGGGGUGAGCUAUAAAGCCCAGUGAGCAGAAUAAAUGAACAUUCAAUUUAAAUUUCAUGCUUUCAUGAAAUGCAACACAACACAAACAAAUCACAUCAAGGAUGGACUUGUCACCAAUAGUCUUCUACAUAGUCCAAUCGUGCCAGGAGCGUAGAAUGGGCCUCACUGGUCUUUCUCUUAACAUAACAUAACAUAACAUAACAUUCCAUAGUGCCAGGGGCAUAGAAUGGGCCUCACUGGUCUUUCUCUUAACAUAGUGCCAGGGGCAUAGAAUGGGCCUCACUGGCUAUCCAUACCGUAUCAUCAUCAUACCAUAACAUACGAGGACUAAAGGAUCAUUCAACAUCCAUCCACAUCAUCAUCAAGUUAUGCAAUGCAACAUAUUCGUGAACUCUAAUGCAAACAACCUAGUAUAUCUCAUGGCAUACGUGAUGCAUGUAUCAUGCUCAAAAUUUAUUUAUUUAUUUUGAAACGUAAAGAGUUAUUCCACUCACCUCUGGCUGAAGCUCUAAUGACUCUGAAGCAGCUAUCUCACUGCUGAGGUCUUCGGUUCCUCGGGUCCGAACCUACACAGGUGGACUCAAAUGAGGGACCAAACAUCCAUGAACAUGACUCUAAAAUACUCCCCAAAAACCCCCUAAAACACCUUAAAACAAUCACAUAAAUCAUGCAAAGGAAGGCUGAACAGGGCACUUUCGGCGGCAGGUUCGGCGGCCGAAAGUCCCUCCAGAGCCGAAAGUCAUGCAC